AAAGAAAUAAUUAAAAAAAAGCUUCUAACUUUUUAUUAAGCAUUAAAUUGUUUUUAUUU
rnacentral:tRNA from 1 species